rnacentral:misc_RNA from 1 species
AACGCACAUUGCGCCCGCCAGCACUCUGGCGGGCAUGCCUGUCCGAGCGUCAUUUCAACCCUCAGGCUCCGCCUGGCGUUGGAGCCCUGCGCACCGCAGGCUCCCAAAGACAGCGGCGGGCGCGCCCCGGAACCGAGCGCAGUAAUGCUCCUCGUUCUGGUCCGGCGCGCGCUCCGGCCGUAAAACCCCCAACUUCUUUAGUGGUUGACCUCGGAUCAGGUAGGAAUACCCGCUGAACUUAA